CUGCCUGUUAUUGUAGAUGUUUGCAACAUAAGCUUGAGGCUCAUGAAACUACAACUGCUGUGGUUCCUGGACCGAUGGAUGCAUACAAGGAGUCUGGAAUGAUGGUUCCUGAUAUUGAUGCUGUUAAGUAUCAUACCAUCCCAAGUUAGGAUCAGUCCACCCAGGAUCGUCGCUAUAAUCAUACCGCACAGGGAAGAAUUUGUCUAGA
rnacentral:lncRNA from 1 species